GAGUUUUGAUCAUGGCUCAGGAUGAACGCUAGCUACAGGCUUAACACAUGCAAGUCGGAGGGGAAACGACAUACGAAAGCUUGUCUUUUGAGUGGGCGUCGACCGGCGCACGGGUGAGUAACGCGUAUCCAACCUGCCCACCACGUUGGGGAUAACCUUGCGAAAGUAAGACUAAUACCCAAUGAUAUCCCUAGAAGACAUCUGAAAGAGAUUAAAGAUUUAUCGGUGAUGGAUGGGGAUGCGUCUGACUAGCUUGUUGGCGGGGUAACGGCCCACCAAGGCAACGAUCAGUAGGGGUUCUGAGAGGAAGGUCCCCCACAUUGGAACUGAGACACGGUCCAAACUCCUACGGGAGGCAGCA
rnacentral:rRNA from 1 species